rnacentral:lncRNA from 1 species
GAAAUUUCAACAGUGUAAGGUUAAAAACUUAGUUUAGUUGUGAAAAUUUAAAUUUUACGGUAUAAAUUAAUUAUCAAGUGUUACGUUAAAUAUAAUAUAAGACUGAAAAUUUAUCGCUGCUAUUUACAUAUGGUUAAAUGGCACAUUACAUUAUCCUGAAGCUAAAACUGUUCCGGAUGACGUAUUUAAACGAUCCCAGUGUGUCGGAUUAUAGCGAAAUUGUAUGAGAAUUAUGAGGUAGCAAGUUGCAGCGCCACAAAUCUGCAGUCCGGCGGCUGUGAACACAACUCGUCUAUGUGACAAUUGCAACGACAAACGCAACAGACGAUCAUGUACGGCCGAUUCC